rnacentral:rRNA from 1 species
AUUGAACGCUGGCGGCAUGCCUUACACAUGCAAGUCGAACGGCAGCACGGGGGGUAACCCCUGGUGGCGAGUGGCGAACGGGUGAGUAAUACAUCGGAACGUAUCCUGUAGCGGGGGAUAACCUCUCGAAAGAGAGGCUAAUACCGCAUACGACCUACGGGUGAAAGAGGGGGAUCGCAAGACCUCUCACUAUAGGAGCGGCCGAUGUCGGAUUAGCUAGUUGGCGGGGUAACGGCCCACCAAGGCUACGACCCGUAGCUGGUCUGAGAGGACGACCAGCCACACUGGAACUGAGACACGGUCCAGACUCC